rnacentral:rRNA from 1 species
GAGGAAUAUUGGACAAUGGGCGCAAGCCUGAUCCAGCCAUGCCGCGUGCAGGAUGACGGUCCUAUGGAUUGUAAACUGCUUUUAUACAGGAAGAAACCCUCCGACGUGUCGGAGCUUGACGGUACUGUAAGAAUAAGGAUCGGCUAACUCCGUGCCAGCAGCCGCGGUAAUACGGAGGAUCCAAGCGUUAUCCGGAAUCAUUGGGUUUAAAGGGUCCGUAGGCGGUCAGAUAAGUCAGUGGUGAAAGCCCAUCGCUCAACGGUGGAACGGCCAUUGAUACUGUCUGACUUGAAUUAUUAGGAAGUAACUAGAAUAUGUAGUGUAGCGGUGAAAUGCUUAGAGAUUACAUGGAAUACCAAUUGCGAAGGCAGGUUACUACUAAUGGAUUGACGCUGAUGGACGAAAGCGUGGGUAGCGAAC